rnacentral:rRNA from 1 species
UACGGGGGGAGCAAGCGUUGUUCGGAUUUACUGGGCGUAAAGGGCUCGUAGGCGGCCAACUAAGUCCGACGUGAAAUCCCCAGGCUUAACCUGGGAACUGCGUCGGAUACUGGAUGGCUUGAAUUCGGGAGAGGGAUGCAGAAUUCCAGGUGUAGCGGUGAAAUGCGUAGAUAUCUGGAGGAAUACCGGUGGCGAAGGCGGCAUCCUGGACCGACAUUGACGCUGAGGAGCGAAAGCUAGGGGAGCAAACGGG